ACUCGGACAGGCGAACGCCGGGGGGCGGUGGCGAGUAAUGGCGAUGGGGAGACGGUUAUCUUUCGGAUCCACAAUCGGGUAUUUGAAGAGGAUUUUCAGAUGGGAAACUCAAACCAAAUAUGGCACCCAGAUCUGACAGCAUCACUCGAUUCAUCAGGACCUGGAUAUUAUCGGCUUUUGAGUGGUGUUAGAAGUGGAGGAUUUGCAGGAACCUCAAACUUAACAUCACAUCAGAACCUGAUAGAUUCAAGCAGCAUAUUGUAACCUGAAUAUCAUCAGAUUUUGAACAUGGAAGGAAAAAGCAACGUUCACAGUGGAGCAAAACCAUACAUGUGUUGUGUGUGUGGACGAAGCUUCAGACAGUCAUCUAGCCUAUCAAGACAC